UACGGAGGGAGCUAGCGUUGUUCGGAAUUACUGGGCGUAAAGCGCACGUAGGCGGCUUUUUAAGUCAGGGGUGAAAUCCCGGGGCUCAACCCCGGAACUGCCCUUGAAACUGGAGAGCUAGAAUCUUGGAGAGGCGAGUGGAAUUCCGAGUGUAGAGGUGAAAUUCGUAGAUAUUCGGAAGAACACCAGUGGCGAAGGCGACUCGCUGGACAAGUAUUGACGCUGAGGUGCGGAAGCGUGGGGAGCAAACAGG
rnacentral:rRNA from 1 species